GUGAGCACACCAGACGAGUAAAUAAAUUAAUUUGAACCAUGGAGAUUACUCCUUGAAGACUUUAGCUAGCUCUCUGCUUUUUCCCAUUGCAACCAGCAGCAGAAACCCUCCUCAUUAACUCAUGAACAUCUUUUGGACCAUUAUAAUGACAGCCAGUGGCACUGCCUGUAUUACAGAGCACCGAUUAAGCACUUUAUUAAUUAAGUUAUUAAUUAAGUCUUACAACAGAAUCACACAGAGGGACCAAUUAGUAGAUGUGUAAUGAGCGGGCACACAGAUUAUGCAAGCAAACGAACUAAACACAUAACAAUCUAAUUAAUACAGGAACAUAAAUAGCACAGUGUAAUGACGCUAUGACAUAACUGAGCUUUUUGUUCUGUAUUUCUGAGGUAAACUGUACAUGUUUACGGGUUUUUGGCAGAGUACAAUUGUACAAGUGUGCAACGACACUGAUGUUUUAAUCUUAACAUUGUUGGAUUUUAAACAACUUAUUUAAUAUGUGAUCAUUUUUGGCUUCUAAAUAAAUCUAUAAACAAGUAAUUUAGAGUAAUUUGUAAACUUUAAUCAGAUAUUUGAUGUCUGAAUCAAAUGUUUGUCUUGCAAAAAAUGAACAGAGUCACUUAGAAGUACUUAGAUAACCAGCUCGGAUGUAAUCGUUCAGUCAUGAUUGUAUAAAGAGAAUGGUGAUUAUUUGGUAAAAACAGUAUCAGAGUCAGAAUCAAACAGCAUUACAUUUGAGUGAUUUUAGUGUGCAUUAUCUUCAGACUCUCUAAGCUGGCUUCAGGCCCAUCUUCUGAUGUCACAUAUCCCGGGUAAGUGGGGUAAAACUGGGGAGACGGUGGUUUAUCUGGUUUAUUUUCACCCGCUGACAAUGGCGGGAGGAAUAGUGGUAUCAGCUUGGCGUGAGCGUAGUCGAUCUCAAAACCCUCAAAAAUAAGCCCCACCCCCCAAGCGCCCAACCCAUCCUCCAGGAGCCGCGACACCUUCUUGGCAGCCAGCACCAGUCCCUCGUAAUCUUCUUUUUCCAGUCUGAAUAUAUCAGAGGUCAAAGGUCGGCGUGGGACUAACACAGUGAAUCCAGGGGAGUUGGGGAAUGGAGUGAGAAAAGCCACAUGACCUUUGUCCUCCCACACGCGCCACUGCUGCUCCUCACCACGAACAAUACGUGAGAACAGGGAAGGGUGAGCCGGAUCGUCCCCGAGGAAGGUCAGAUCAGGGGGGGCAUCAGGCAGCGGCAGUUUGGCUCGAAUCCUGGUCUGGAUUUCAGUCAGACUGGAGUCACUCCAUCGUGGGGCAGUCCUGGAAGUGCAGUAUCCCGGGUCAUGGGCGUUGUGCUCUUCUUCCCCAGCCAGAUGAGGGCGCCACUCUGCAUCCAGACCACACAGGGGGAGGAUACGGAUCUGUACAGGUCUAUCUCUGUGGGGUCUGCUGACCAGCGCACACCUCUGAACUCCCAGCCUGUCACAAAGCAGCUCUGCCACAGCUCUCGCCCCAAGCAGCCAGGACAAGUACUCUGGCUCCCCCAGGUGGAAAAUGCUGCCUCCUUGGGUCCCGGGGGUGCUGCUCUCCAGGAUGACAGAGCCCGGGGUCCAGGGCCAAGGGUGAAGGUAGGCUACCAGCCCAUCUGACUCCCAGAUGACGUGACGCCGAAGAGCGGACGACAUGCUGAGGAAAGGGAAGGAGAGAAAUAUGAAUCAGUCGUCUUUUUUACCCAUAGAUGCAGUUUGCAUAAUCAUUAAAUAAUCUUUCACAUAUAAAAUUUUUCCUCAUCUUUCAAGCCACAAAAACACUCUUCCC
ensembl:lncRNA